CGUGUAGGCGGUUCGGAAAGUCGGAUGUGAAAGCCCUGGGCUCAACCCAGGAAGUGCAUUCGAAACUCCCCGAACUCGAGUCCUGGAGAGGAAGGCGGAAUUCUCGGUGUAGAGGUGAAAUUCGUAGAUAUCGAGAGGAACAUCGGUGGCGAAGGCGGCCUUCUGGACAGCGACUGACGCUGAGACGCGAAAGCGUGGGGAGCAAACA
rnacentral:rRNA from 1 species